rnacentral:rRNA from 1 species
UACGGAGGGUGCGAGCGUUGUCCGGAAUCACUGGGCGUACAGGGAGCGUAGGCGGUUGGAUAAGCCCUCCGUGAAAUCUCCAGGCUUAACCUGGAAAGUGCAGAGGGGACUGUUCAGCUAGAGGAUGGGAGAGGAGCGCGGAAUUCCCGGUGUAGCGGUGAAAUGCGUAGAGAUCGGGAGGAAGGCCGGUGGCGAAGGCGGCGACUCGUGGAACAUUUCUGACGCUGAGGCUC